rnacentral:rRNA from 1 species
CGCGAAAACCUUACCAAGGCUUGACAUAUACGAGAACGCUGCAGAAAUGUAGAACUCUUUGGACACUCGUAAACAGGUGGUGCAUGGUUGUCGUCAGCUCGUGUCGUGAGAUGUUGGGUUAAGUCCCGCAACGAGCGCAACCCUCGUUCUAUGUUGCCAGCACGUAAUGGUGGGAACUCAUGGGAUACUGCCGGGGUCAACUCGGAGGAAGGUGGGGAUGACGUCAAAUCAUCAUGCCCCUUAUGUCUUGGGCUUCACGCAUGCUACAAUGGCCGGUACAAAGGGCUGCAAUACCGUAAGGUGGAGCGAAUCCCAAAAAGCCGGUCCCAGUUCGGAUUGAGGUUUGCAACUCGACCUCAUGAAGUUGGAGUCGCUAGUAAU